rnacentral:rRNA from 1 species
GAAGCAUGACCGUAAGGACAUGUGGACAGUAUGGGAGUGAGAAUGUUGGCAUGAGUAGCGAGAUGUGGGUGAGAAUCCCACAGGCCGUAAACCCAAGGUUUCCAGGGGAAGGUUCGUCCGCCCUGGGGUAGUCGGGACCUAAGCUGAGGCCGAAAGGCGUAGGUGAUGGACAACAGGUUGAUAUUCCUGUACUACCGAUAACCGUUUGAGAGAUGGGAUGACACAG